UCAAUAUCAGACCCUUAGCCUGAAUGAAUCCAGGUAUGGCACUGUCUUAACGAAUUAGCUCCCAUUCAUCCUACACGCUUCCGUUGGGCUGGAAAUUGCCUCGUAGGGUGCAGACGCCCAUGAAAAUUUACCUGCCGUACACGAAAUAUUGAAGUUGACCAUGGUGAUGUUGCCCGAGACGAAAAUUGAUGUUUUAUUUACAUCGGCACGAGAUUAGAUAGCUGGCAAAGAAGAUGCGGCUGUUUUAUCUAAGUCAAAUAAUAUAACUAUAUACACGUAUAA